rnacentral:lncRNA from 1 species
AACAAUUUUCUAAAACAAAACAUAUCCCUUUCCUAUAAUGAAAGAUUGAAAAGUUAAAAGAUAAUGAGUCCUAAUCAUUAGAAAUUAUUAAAAAUGAAAAAGGGGUAUUAAAAAAAGUAUUAAAGAGACAAAACAUAACACAUCGUUCUAUUUACCUGACAUUUCUUUGGUGUGCAAAAGGGAUAAAUAAAAAUUAUUAAUCUACACUAGGUAUUAAAAAUAUUUUAUUGUUUUUAAUAUUGCAUAAGCUUUACACACUAUAAAAUAACCUCUAAAAAUUAUUGUGCGGGAGAUUUCAAAUUUGUUGUUGACGCAAUUGUUAUAAUUUAGUCUUAAAUGUUCUUACGAUCAUUUUAGUUUAAGAGUUUUAAAUUAUUGAUUUCCCUAUUACAAAACUCAACUUUUGAUUCCUUAAUUUCACUUUCCUUGGAAUCCUUAUGGUGUCCCUCCAGUUUUGCUCAUGUGUCCUCUUGAUUUAUGACGUGACACUUUGAUUAUGGUGUCAUGUCAACAAGUCUAACUUUUUUUAAAAACAACGGAUAUAUUAAUUAAAAAAACAUUUAAAGCAUUUUUUAUUAAACUUAUCAAUUUAUAUAAUUGUAUAAAAUCUGAAAAUAAAAAACAUUAUUGUUCAUGCUUCCAGUCCCAAUUCGUCAUUUCUUAAGAGCCCUAACCCCUUUUCACUACCUUCAUUGUUAAAUUGAAUCAAUCUUGCUCAAAACUUGUGAAGCUCAAUCAUCAUUUUUUACUGUCGCAUCUCAAUCACUACUUUUUGAAGCACAUUCAAUCUGCAAGAGUUCGUUUUUGGGUUUUAAAGUUGGUGCUUGUGAAGAUGACAAAUGCACAUUCUCAAAGGGGGAGCAACGAAGAAGUCAAGUACUGUGUAAGGUAUGUUUAUUUAUCCUUUUUGCAAGACUUCAUUUUUGGGUUUUAAAGUUGGUGCUUGUGAAGAUGACGAAUGCACAUUCUCAAAGGGAGAGCAACGAAGAAGUCAAGUAUUGUGUAAGGUAUGUUUAUUUAUCCUUUUUGCAAGUGUCAGUGGUCAACAUGUUGCAUCCUAUUCAUUCGUAUUCAGUGAUCCACCAUGCUUUUGUUUAUGUAUUCUUGUGGUCCCACUUGUAAUGUUGUCUAAUUUUUAUUUUAUUUUGGGUCUGUUGCUGUUAAUUUAAAAUAUUUUAUUAUUAUUUCUCUGGCCAGCUAAGAGUCAUAAUAUUAGGUUGAGAAUACAACAUAAGGAAAGAUUAGUAGAUAAACAUGUUAAAUGGUAUGUUGAUAGGUAUGUUGAUGUCAUCCUCAAUAGAGCAUCCAAACCAUACUUGCAUUCAUACCUCAAACGAUUUAUAGAGCUACUUCCAUGCUAAAAAGGAUUGUUGUGACAUCUUACAAUUCUUAAACCGAAAGAGAUGAUAUUGGGCUUCAAAUAUGAUAAUGGGCUUUAAAGAUGAAGAUGAACAUAACGAAGGUGUGAAGAAGAGGAUGAAGGUUGGAAUAAGAAGAACGUGAUAAUGAGAUUUUAUGAUUUUUUAGAUUUUAUCACAUUAUAUAAAUUGAUAAGUUUAAUAAAAAUGCUCUUAAAAUAUUUUAAUAAAAUAUUCUUUUAUUUUAUAAUAUAAAAAGUCAUACUUGCUGACACCAUAGUUAAAGUGUCACGUCAUAAAUGAAGAUAGCGUAUAUGCAAAACUAGAGGAAGACACAAAAAUCUCAAAAGAAAGUGAAAUUAAUGGACCAAAAAGCUGAGUAUGUAACAGAGAUACUAAAAUUAAAAACACAUUAAGUAAGAGGAUCAAAAGUGCUUUAAAUUUAUAAUUUAUUUUUUUGUAGAAGAUUUAGGUGACCCGUAGUAUCCUAAUCAAAAUUGUAGGGGUUAAUUUGUCUAGGAUCAAAAUCUCAGUCAAAAUUAAAAUGUGUAAAUAAUAUUACAUCAAUACUAAAACUAUUAUUAAUUAAAGAAUAUAAUAAUAGUGACAUAUCUAAAUAUAAAAAAAUUAAGAAAUAAAGAAUUAUGAGAAAUGACGUACUUUUCCGAUGCUAUAAAAUUUUAACAACUACAUAUCUUAUCAAAUAUUUAAAAUUUGACAAUAAAAGAAGGAAAAAAAGAAUAUACACUGAUAGUGUAAAAAUAAUUAUACAUUGUCAACCAACAACGACGUGUAUUCUGCCACCAUUCAUACUUUAAUUUUAAAAUCAUGUUGAUAACAUAGUAAAUUAAUAAAUUUCUAUUUGAUAACAUUGUAAAACUCUUUACACCGUGAGUACACUACCUUUAAUAUCAUAAAAGAAACACAAACAUUCACAAGGAUAUACGAAAACAAUAGAAAGAAAUUUUGAAUUCAUGGAAAUGAUUACACAAAAAUAUUUUUUCACUAUUAGUUUUGAAUCAAAAUAGCUAUGAGUUUUGAAUCAAAUUUGUGGCAAUCAUUUGUUUUAUUUUGUAUCUCAAAAUUUAAUUUGAUUUAGUUAUGUAAUGGUUGUGUGAUUGUUGAGUUUGAAGUAUUUCAUGUGUGAACUGGUUACCAUCGGUGUGUAAGCGAUUACAGCGGAGUUGACAUGCAUUCUAGACAGCUGGAUAAACUCUAAUUAAUUUUAUUAUUUUACAAUUAUAAUAAUUGUAGAUAAUAUCAGCAUGAUGUUAUAUUUAUUGUGGUCAAAGAAUUUUAAAACAAAACAUGUCCUUUUUCUAUCACAAAAGAUUGACAAGUUAUAUAAAAGACUAACAAUUUUACUUUAAUCAUUAAAAACUAUUUAUAUACCCCAAUAUGUUAAAAAGGAAAACACAAACACAUUGAUCUACACUUAAAAGACAUUUCUUAAGUGUGCAAAAGCGACAAAAUAUUGGUCUACUUAAUUGUUAUAAAUACUUUUUUAGUAUUGCAUUAACUUUACAACUAUAAAGUAUAAUUGAUCAAAAAAAAUAUCUAUUGAUUAUAUCUCAGAAAAAUAAAAAUAAAAGUAUGGCUAACACUCUCAAAUUUGUUUAUAUUAUGAUUUUUAAUCAUUUCUCUUUCCCUUUUUUCAAAGGAGGCUUGGGUAAACCAUUUUCUCCUUUUAAAACUUUACACGAUCUUUAUUUCAUUUAAUAUAAUAUUAUUAGUUUAUUUAUUUUACAGCAAGAGUUAUUAAAUGUGAAAAGGGAGGAGAAGAUUGUCCAAUUUUAAAUAUGAGCCUUUAAUUUUAAGUGCAUAAAGAAUAUAUGUGAAGCCAGUAAAAGAAAUCCAACAACGUCACUACCAAAUAAGACUAGCAAAAAAAUAUGUCUAGUGUGCCUAUUGCUAGAAUAUUCAUGAAUUGUCAUUAAAUUUUAUGCUAAAAACAUCUAAAAUUAUAUUUUAUUGUUUGAUUGUUAAGUGAUUUCACAUUUCUUAAGAUUAUGAUUUGAUUCUAAAAUAUUAUAAUGAAAAAAAUAGGGCAUUGAAGAAUAUUUGUACAGGGAUUCCUAUUUAUAUACUUUUUAACAAGUAAUAUACGUUUACAAAUAUUUUGUAGUUCUAGAUAUUUCUAAGUAUAAUUUAUCAAACGUUAUUUCUGAUCGACCUUAAUGUUAUUCUUAUAUAAUAUUAUAUGACCUCAAUCGAAAUAGAAACAAAUCCUAGGAAUUACAGAUAUAAAAAGGACGAAAUAGAAAAAAGAUGAUUAACUGCAAGAAAUAGUUACGGUGCAUCUAAGUAUCAAAUUGUAAUAAAUUAAGUACUCUCUCCCNAUAUGAUAAUGGGCUUUAAAGAUGAAGAUGAACAUAACGAAGGUGUGAAGAAGAGGAUGAAGGUUGGAAUAAGAAGAACGUGAUAAUGAGAUUUUAUGAUUUUUUAGAUUUUAUCACAUUAUAUAAAUUGAUAAGUUUAAUAAAAAAUGUCUUAAAUAUUUUUUAAUUAAAAUAUUCUUUUAUUUUUAUAAUAAUAAAAAGUCAUACUUGCUGACACCAUAGUUAAAGUGUCACGUCAUAAAUGAAGAUAGCGUAUAUGCAAAACUAGAGGAAGACCACAAAAAUCUCAAAGAAAGUGAAAUUAAUGGACCAAAAAGCUGAGUAUUGUAACAGAGAUACUAAAAAUUAAAAACACAUUAAGUAAGAGGAUCAAAAGUGCCUUUAAAUUUAUAAUUUAUUUUUUUGUAGAAGAUUUAGGUGACCCGUAGUAUCCUAAUCAAAUUGUAGGGGUUAAUUUGUCUAGGAUCAAAAUCUCAGUCAAAAAUUAAAAAUGUGUAAAAUAAAUAUUACAUCAAUACUAAAACUAUUAUUAAUUAAAAGAAUAUAAUAAUAGUGACAUAUCUAAAUAUAAAAAAAUUAAGAAAAUAAAGAAUUAUGAGAAAUGACGUAUCUUUUCCGAUGCUAUAAAAUUUUAAAUCAACUACAUAUCUUAUCAAAUAUUUAAAAUUUGACAAUAAAAGAAGGAAAAAAAGAAUAUACACUGAUAGUGUAAAAUAAUUAUACAUUGUCAACCAAUCAACGACGUGUAUUCUGCCACAUCAUACUUUAAUUUUAAAAUCAUGUUGAUAACAUAGUAAAUUAAUAAAUUUCUAUUUGAUAACAUUGUAAAACUUCUUUACACCGUGAGUACACUACCUUUAAUAUCAUAAAAGAAACACAAAACAUUUCACAAGGAUAUACGGAAAACAAUAGAAAGAAAUUUGAAUUUCAUGAAAUGAUUACACAAAAAUAUUUUUUCACUAUUAGUUUUGAAUCAAAAUAGCUAUGAGUUUUGAAUCAAAUUUGUGGCAAUCAUUUGUUUUAUUUUGUAUCUCAAAUUUUAAUUUGAUUUAGUUAUGUAAUGGUUGUGUGAUUUGUUGAAGUUUUUGAAGUAUUUCAUGUGUUGUAACUGGUUACCAUCGGGUGUGUAAGCGAUUACAGCUGGAGUUGACAUGCAUUCUAGACAGCUGGAGUAAACUCUAAUUAAUUUUAUAUUUUACACAUUAUAAUAAUUUGUAGAUAAUAUCAGCAUGAUGUUAUAUUUAUUGUGGUCAAAGAAUUUUUAAAAACAAAAACAUGUCCUUUUUCUAUCACAAAAGAUUGACAAGUUAUAUAAAAGACUAACGAAUUUUACUUUUAAUCAUUAAAAACUAUUUAUGAUGUUAUAUUUAUUGUGGUCAAAGAAUUUUUAAAAACAAAAACAUGUCCUUUUUCUAUCACAAAAGAUUGACAAGUUAUAUAAAAGACUAACGAAUUUUACUUUUAAUCAUUAAAAACUAUUUUAUAUUACCCCUUAAUAUGUUAAAAAGGAAAAACACAACACAUUGAUCUACACUUAAAAGACAUUUCUUAAGUGUGCAAAAGGGACAAAAAUAUUGGUCUACUUAAUUGUUAUAAAUACUUUUUUUAGUAUUGCAUUAACUUUACACACUAUAAAGUAUAAUUGAUCAAAAAAAUAUUCUAUUGAUUAUAUUCAGAAAAAUAAAAAUAAAAGUAUGGCUAACACUCUCAAAUUUGUUUAUAUUAUGAUUUUAAUCAUUUCUCUUUCCCUUUUUUCAAAGGAGGCUUGUGGUAAACCAUUUUCUCCUUUAUAAACUUUACACGAUCUUUUAUUUCAUUUUAAUAUUAAUAUUAUUAGUUUAUUUUAUUUUUACAGCAGAGGUUAUUAAAUGUGAAAAGGAGGAAGAUUGUCCAAUUUUAAAUUAUGAGCCUUUAAUUUUUAAGUGCAUUAAGAAUAUAUGUGAAGCAGUUAAAAAGAAUCCAACAACGUCACUACCAAUAUAAGACUAGCAAAAAAAUAUGUCUAGUGUGCCUAUUGCUAGAAUAUUUCAUGAAUUGUCAUUUAAAUUUUAUGCUAAAAACAUCUAAUAAUUAUAUUUUUAUUUGUUUGAUUUGUUAAGUGAUUUCACAUUUCUUAAGAUUAU